AGAGUUUGAUCCUGGCUCAGGAUGAACGCUAGCGGCAGGCCUAACACAUGCAAGUCGAGGGGUAGAAGGAGCUUCGGUGUUUGAGACCGGCGCACGGGUGCGUAACGCGUAUGCAAUCUACCUUGUACAGGGGAAUAGCCCAGAGAAAUUUGGAUUAAUGCCCCAUAGUAUAUAACCUUCGCAUGUUGGUUAUAUUAAAGUUCCAACGGUACAAGAUGAGCAUGCGUCCCAUUAGUUAGUUGGUAAGGUAACGGCUUACCAAGACGAUGAUGGGUAGGGGUCCUGAGAGGGAGAUCCCCCACACUGGUACUGAGACACGGACCAGACUCCUACGGGAGGCAGCAGUGAGGAAUAUUGGUCAAUGGUCGCAAGACUGAACCAGCCAUGCCGCGUGCAGGAAGACGGUCCUAUGGAUUGUAAACUGCUUUUAUACAGGAAGAAACCCUCCCACGUGUGGGAGCUUGACGGUACUGUAGGAAUAAGAAUCGGCUAACUCCGUGCCAGCAGCCGCGGUAAUACGGAGGAUCCAAGCGUUAUCCGGAAUCAUUGGGUUUAAAGGGUCCGUAGGCGG
rnacentral:rRNA from 1 species